AAAGUUUUAGUAUAUGUUAUAGUAUAGUUUAUUGUCAAUAAACAGGUUGAUAGCUUUA
rnacentral:tRNA from 1 species